rnacentral:rRNA from 1 species
AAUAUUAGGUAAGAACUUUAAACCCAAAGAAUUUGGCGGUAUUUUAUUCUAUUCAGAGGAACCUAUCCCGUAAUUGAUAAUACACGAUUAUUUUUACUUAAUUUAUUUGUUUGUAUAUCUCCGUUAUCAGAAUAUCUUUUUAGAGUUGAAAUUUUCUUGACUUAUAAUUAUAAAGUAUUUCAGGUCAAGGUGCAGCUUAUAGUUAAGGGGAGGUGGGUUACAAUAAAUUUUAUUUAUAAUGAAUUUAUUAAUUAAGAUUAAUAAUGAAGGUGGAUUUGAUAGUAAUUUAAUUUAUUUAAUUUAAUUGAUAUUAGCUCUAAAGUGUGU